AUUUAUGGACCUUGAGGCUCUCCGUGGGGCAUACCGGGAGAGGCGGUCCCGUAGAUACGAGGGCUCCAGGAGGGACACUCCAGCAGUGUCGGCAGUUUUCCCGCCCCGGGCACCAGCAAUCCACGCUAUGCCACUGUCCUCUGCUUCCCACGGCUACAGGUCCAGCUUCCCAGAGGUGCUUUGAUACAACCUUUACGAUUGCCAAAGCGCCUUCCAGGAAGGUGCCCGAUGAUUAUAAACGGUGGCGCGACCUCACGAUCUCGUUUUUAAUUAUCCCUGCUGUGGACUUUGCUUUUCCCCCAAAGCUUCUGGGUCAACACAGGAUCACGCUAGCUGUUAGUCACUUUUUGGUUUGGUCAGUUGCUUUCCCCACCAACGAGCAACAAAUUUAACUAUUCCAAGUCUUGAGUCCAACAUUCUCCUUUUUGACAUAGCUGUCAACUUUUCCCUUGUCUUGCGAGGAAUCCUAUUCCUUUAAAAAAGGGAAAAGUUGACAGCUAUGCUUUUUGACUGCAGUGUACUCGUUCAAGGUGAACCGAAAAAGCAUUGCAUCGCAUGCUGGCACAAUCUGAAGAGCCACAGCUUUCUUGCUAGAUCUGGGUGUCCGAAUAUAAUUUCCUACUGGAAAAAAAUCCCUGUGCAAUUGCAUUAUUGGUCCAGGAAUGACCAUCUUUAUUUUGGUGUGGAAUAAAGGUAUAAAACACUGUUGCCACUAGAGGGUGCUCAUUCCCCACACAGCACAAACCCUUUCCUCUCAUGGGUCUUUAAGCAGACAGAAUUCACUGCGGCUAUGAAAGUGAGGAUGACAACAGUGAUUUAUUAGCAUCUAUCAGAAUAAUUAAAGCUAAUCCAGUGGCUAUGGGUGGAGGUGCUUCUGCCGAGGAAAGCAGCAGCCGUUGAGUGUGAACAAUAUUUCCAGGACAUCUACAUGUUCCCAGUGGAUCAUUUGAUCCUGGCUGCGUAAUUCACCCCUGGCGCCAGACUUCCUUUGUAAUUCAAACUUCUGGUCCUCAAGGCUCCAGGUGUUGACUUAGUAAUGUUCAGCCUAACCAACCUUGCAGGGUUAUUGUAACAAUAAAAUGGUAGCAGGGAGGACCACAUAUUAAAAUCUGCUUUUAUCCAUGGAA